GGUAACAUAAUGAAAACCUCAUGGAUGCUGAAGAAACUGGAGUGUCUCGAGCCUGACAUGUGAAACCAAGAAUCUGGAAAACCCUGGAGGCUCUAUCAAGAAUGUCUUUGCUCCUGCUAGCUGGCAUUUUGAUACCUAGCCUUUCUCAAGUGGUUCAUGUGGUGACAGUUUUUAGCAGUUUCAAUACCAACAGAUGUUACAAAGCCCAAUGGAGGAUGAUCCUUGUGAGCUCAGAGGCAGAUGAUUCUGUUUAUCCCAGCCUGCACAUGACAGAGAAAACCUCAAAAUGUCCUUCAAACCCAGCAUUGAAUGCUGCUUGAAGAAGCUUUGAUGAAUCUUUAUGUAGUAGGACUUUAGACUUUGCAUGUGGAUAUUGGUAUGUGUUGUAUGUCAAUCAGAGCUCUUUAACUACUCUUCACAUCUUCUAAUCUUUGCAAUCUGUGGGCUAAAGUGGUGUGAAGCACUUGGAGAACUCUAUACUGUACAAUGGCCCAGUUUUUGUCACCAUGUAAUGUAGCACAUACCAUGGUGUUAGGUAUGUUGUCAUUAGAAAACAACAAAUAAAAACUUUCUUAUCCCACUUGAA